UUUCUAUUGUUUAAUGUAAAUUUAUGUCUUUUUAGGAUAUGUUGAGGCAACAAAGAAGGCGCAGUUUGAAAAUGGAGUUAUUAGUAAUGAAGUAGCAGGCAUAUUUGGAAAAUUAUGCAGAUAAAAAGGAAGGAAUUUGGGAAAGCAAGUGCCUGGUUGCAGGAUAUCCAUGUAUUAAAAAGUAUUUAAUUAAAUUGUUUAAUAGAAAUGUUAUAAAUCGGGUGGCUCAUUUACGAUGUGCUCCAAACAUUUGGGAAACUUUUUUUUCGCCUUCUCAAUGUGCUAAGUAACAAGUUAAGACGACUGCCAUCACUGCCGGUAAGAAACCGCAAGCAAAGGGCAGACAACCUUCCAGGAAGCUGUCUCCUGUCCCUGAGUCGGAGCUGAAGUUCAGCAAGAAGCAGGUCAGCAAAUUGCUACCCUGAUCAAGCGUAAACUAAAGCGCUCUGCUCCGAUUAUACACUCCGUAAACGUGAAAACUUGGUGCAUGCUGACAAAUAUCAAACAAGAAAACUCCGUGAUGGACGCCGUGAGAUUGGCUUUUGUGAUCCGUAUCCGCGGUAUCAACAAAGUUGCACCACAUUAACCACGGUUUGUUCAUCAAAUUGAACAAGGCAACCAUUAAUAUGCUACGUAUGCUGAACCCUAUAUGGGGUUAUCCAAAUCUUAAAUCAGUUAGUGAAUUGAUUUACAGACGCGGAAUUGUCAAGCACAACCAUCAACGUGUCCCAAUCUCUGACAGCUUUCUGAUCGAAUGCAAAUUACGCAAAGCGCACGAAAUUCAGUGCGUUGAUUAUUUGGCGUACGAAAUAUUCACUGUUGGAACCCACUUCAAGAAAGCCUCCAACUUCCUGAUGCCAAUCAAGAUCAACACAUCAACCCGAGGCUGGCGCCAGAAGGCUAAUCACUACGUUGAGGUUGGUGAUUUCGGUAGCCGUGAG